GGACUACAGGGGUAUCUAAUCCCGUUCGCUCCCCCAGCUUUCGCGUCUCAGCGUCAGAAGCAGGCCAGGAAGCCGCCUUCGCCACUGGCAUUCCUCCCGAUAUCUACGCAUUUCACCGCUACACCGGGAAUUCUACUUCCCUCUCCUGCCCUCAAGCCCGGCGGUCUCCCGCGACCUCCUACAGUUGAGCCGUAGGCUUUCACACGGGACUUACCAGGCCGCCUGCACGCGCUUUACGCCCAGUGAUUCCGGACAACGCUCGCCCCCUACGUCUUACCGCGGCUGCUGGCAC
rnacentral:rRNA from 1 species